AACCCUGAGGCGUGAUGACGAGUCACUACGGUGAUGAAGUAGUUGAUGCCAAGCUUCCAGGAAAAGCCUCUAAGCUCUAGGUAACAUUGAAUCGUACCCCAAACCGACACAGGUGGUCAGGUAGAGAAUACCAAGGCGCUUGAGAGAACUCGGGUGAAGGAACUAGGCAAAAUGGUGCCGUAACUUCGGGAGAAGGCACGCUGGCGCGUAGGUGAAGUCCCUUGCGGAUGGAGCUGAAGCCAGUCGAAGAUACCAGCUGGCUGCAACUGUUUAAUAAAAACACAGCACUGUGCAAACACGAAAGUGGACGUAUACGGUGUGACGCCUGCCCGGUGCUGGAAGGUUAAUUGAUGGGGUCAGCCGCAAGGCGAAGCUCUUGAUCGAAGCCCCAGUAAACGGCGGCCGUAACUAUAACGGUCCUAAGGUAGCGAAAUUCCUUGUCGGGUAAGUUCCGACCUGCACGAAUGGCGUAAUGAUGGCCAGGCUGUCUCCACCCGAGACUCAGUGAAAUUGAACUC
rnacentral:rRNA from 1 species